AAAAUGUCUACCUCGAGAAAAGACAAUCUCUGCUUAAAAUGUUGUUCAUAUAUAUUGUAUAUGCAUCUAAAGUGUUUCGAAGCAUACGCAAUAACGUGUUUGUCUCAGUUCAACAAUUAUUAAAUUGGUUUUCUCGCAUUUAUCAUUUUUUAGUUUAAAGCAGUCUUCUCAAUAGAAUAGAUAACCAAUUGAACAUCGAGUAUUGCAGGAAAUAAAGUCUAGAUAAAAUCCAGACAUAAUACGUUAUAUAUAAGGUUGUAUUGCUUAUCUUACGUACCGCAACAACAACAAAGAAGAACAACAUUAGCCUAAGCACAGCUCGUAUACAAUAAGAACAUCAUUCCUUUACAAAAACAAAGAAAAAAAAAUGAAUAAAUAAAUUAAAAGUAAAAAUAAAAACAACAACGAAAGCAAAAGCAAAAAUGAAAAUCAACUGAAUUAUGAACUGGUCUGUUAUUGAACGAACAACUAAAGCAACACAAAACAUGUUAAUUCUAUUGUCAGCUCUUCAACGCAACGGUCAUUAGGACGGAUGGAAAACAAGAAAUAACCGCAUACCGUCUACACAAAGCUUUGAAAAAAAAAAAAAAAAAAAAAAAA